AUGGACUGGACCUGGAGAAUUCUCUUCCUGGUGGCAGUGGCUGCAGGUGUGAACUCCCAAGUGCAGUUGGUGCAGUCGGGGGCUGAGGUUGGAAAACCUGGGACAUCAGUGAAGAUCUCCUGCAAGGCGUCCGGAUACACCUUCACUGACUACUGGAUGCACUGGUUGCGGCAGACCCCAGGACAAGGGCUUGAGUGGAUGGGAAACAUAUAUCCUGGUAAUGGUAAUACAAACUACGCACAAAAGUUCCAGGGCAGACUCACACUCACUGCAGACAAGUCCAAGGACACAGCCUACAUGGAACUGAGCAGGCUGAGCACCGAGGACACAGCCGUGUAUUACUGUGCAAGAAACACAGUGUGA